GUGCCAGCAGCCGCGGUAAUACGGAGGGGGCCAGCGUUGCUCGGAAUCACUGGGCGUAAAGGGCUAGUAGGCGGUCUGAUAAGUCCUGUGUGAAAUCCCUUGGCUUAACCAAGGAAUUGCGCCGGAUACUGUCGGACUAGAGGCCGGGAGAGGGAAGCGGAAUUCCGAGUGUAGCGGUGAAAUGCGUAGAUAUUCGGAGGAACACCGGUGGCGAAGGCGGCUUCCUGGACCGGUUCUGACGCUGAAUAGCGAAAGCUAGGGGAGCAAACAGGAUUAGAUACCCGGGUAGUCC
rnacentral:rRNA from 1 species